rnacentral:rRNA from 1 species
AAUGGGGGAAACCCUGACGCAGCAACGCCGCGUGGGUGAUGAAGGCCUUCGGGCCGUAAAGCCCUGUCGGGAGGGAAGAAAUGAUUGAGAGCUAAUACCUCUUGGUCUUGACGGUACCUCCGAAGGAAGCACCGGCUAACUCCGUGCCGGCAGCCGCGGUGAUACGGAGGGUGCAAGCGUUGUUCGGAAUCACUGGGCGUAAAGCGCGUGUAGGCGGCUUGUUAAGUCAGAUGUGAAAACCGGGGGCUCAACCCGCGCCCUGCAUCUGAAACUAGCAGGCUUGAGUCUGGUAGAGGAAAGUGGAAUUCCUAGUGUAGCGGUGAAAUGCGCAGAUAUUAGGAGGAACACCAGUGGCGAAGGCGGCUUUCUGGGCCACGACUGACGCUGAGACGCGAAAGCUAGGGGAGCGAA